UACAGGGGGUGCAAACGUUGCUCGGAAUCAUUGGGCGUAAAGCGCACGUAGGCGGUUCGUUAUGUCGGAUGUGAAAGCCCUUGGCUUAACCGAGGAAGUGCAUCCGAAACUGGCGAGCUAGAGUACGAAAGAGGAUCGCGGAAUUCCCGGUGUAGAGGUGAAAUUCGUAGAUAUCGGGAGGAACACCGGUGGCGAAGGCGGCGAUCUGGGUCGAUACUGACGCUGAGGUGCGAAAGCUUGGGGAGCAAACAGG
rnacentral:rRNA from 1 species